GAUGAAGAACGUAGCGAAAUGCGAUAAGUAAUGUGAAUUGCAGAAUUCAGUGAAUCAUCGAAUCUUUGAACGCACAUUGCGCCCAUUAGCAUUCUAGUGGGCAUGCCUGUUCGAGCGUCAUUUCAACCCUUAAGCCCUGUUGCUUAGCGUUGGGAGCCUACAGUACUGUAGCUCCCCAAAGUUAGUGGCGGAGUCGGUUUCACACUCUAGACGUAGUAAUUUUUUCUCGUCUGUAGUUGAGCCGGUCCCCUGCCGUAAAACACCCAAUUUAUCAAGGUUGACCUCGGAUCAGGUAGGAAUACCCGCUGAACUUAAGCAUAUCAAUAGCGGAGGA
rnacentral:misc_RNA from 1 species